UGAGCAAUCUGCCCUUCUCAUCGGAAUAAGCGUUGGAAACGACGUCUAAUGCCGAAUACGACCUCCUUUCGCAUGAUCGGAGGUGGAAAGCUCCGGCGGAGAAGGAUGAGCUCGCGGCCUAUCAGCUAGUUGGUGUGGGUAAUGGCCCACCAAGGCAACGACGGGUAGCCGGCCUGAGAGGGUGACCGGCCACACUGGGACUGAGACACGGCCCAGACCUCCCGACGGGAGCAG
rnacentral:rRNA from 1 species